GAUGAACGCUGGCGGCGUGCUUAACACAUGCAAGUCGAACGGAAAGGCCCAAGCUUGCUUGGGUACUCGAGUGGCGAACGGGUGAGUAACACGUGGGUGAUCUGCCCUGCACUUCGGGAUAAGCCUGGGAAACUGGGUCUAAUACCGGAUAGGACGAUGGUUUGGAUGCCAUUGUGGAAAGUUUUUUCGGUGUGGGAUGAGCUCGCGGCCUAUCAGCUUGUUGGUGGGGUAAUGGCCUACCAAGGCGUCGACGGGUAGCCGGCCUGAGAGGGUGUACGGCCACAUUGGGACUGAGAUACAGCCCAGACUCCUACGGGGGGCGGCAGUGGGGAAUAUUGCACAAUGGGCGCAAGCCUGAUGCAGCGACGCCGCGUGGGGGAUGACGGCCUUCGGGUUGUAAACUCCUUUCGCUAGGGACGAAGCGUUUUUGUGACGGUACCUGGAGAAGAAGCACCGGCUAACUACGUG
rnacentral:rRNA from 1 species